ACUUUCACCAUUUUUCUGUUUGCUUUCCCAUAAAAAGGAGUGUUUUUUCCAUCAUUUUGUAGAUUAUGAGUCUUUCAUUUGGUUACACACAUGUUGGACUCCCUUAGCUAAAUAAUCCCUAAUUUCUUACUCAUCCCCCUCUGCUGCUUCAUCUUUUUAUAAAUUUAAUUAUGGUUUAACAUCUAUCUUUCCCCUCUUAUUCCUCAUUAUUCAAUCUAUUCAUCAUAACUUCUUUUUAAAGGAUCUAAACCAGCAAAAGAAAGAUCAGGAGGAGGUUCUUUUGUGCAGUUUCUUCUAUCUCUGCUGCUCACAUACCACUAUUGAUUUUUUACCAACAAUUUCACUCCUUCCAAUAUCUGUGAUAUUCUAGAAAGUUUUUAACUUUCAGGUACUUUUUGUUGCACUAUGAGCUGGAUUUGAGCCUUUGCAAUCCAAGUUUUGGGUUCAAAGAAGAGUAUGUUUUAUUUUCCCAUUGUUCAGAUGGGUGUGGGGCUCUCUGGCACCUCUAAUAAGACAAGUGAAACUGCCCAAAUACAUCAAAUUGCUUGGACCUUCAUUCCUUAACUAUCCAAAACUGUUCCCAGUUUCCACUCUUCAUUCUAAUCCAUGUGUUAGUUUUAAAAUUGAUGUUUAAUAUCCAAUUUUGUAUUCUCAUGCACUAUCCAUUAGUGUAAGUCUAUAUAUCUGUAUUACCAAAAUGCUUCUCAAUCAUGCAUGACCAAAAGAAUCUAAAACCUGAUGUAACAGAAAGUUUGGCACUAUUGUCCUAUAUAUUCAAUUCUUUAUGAUAAGAGUAAAUCUCCAACUAAUCUUGGGUUAACUGCAACCUAAUUGUUUUUCCCUUUGAGAUCACUCAAUUGUUCUUAUUAUGGGUUCAAUUGAUAAUCACAUAAGAGACUCUUUAAUUUGUAUAAGAAAAGCUUCCGCAUCAGUGUAUGCGUACUCAGUUUUUUUGAGCUGCUACUAAUUCUCUUCAACUCAAUAUCUUUGCUUGCGUAGUUUUUAUUUAAUUUGACAUUUCUUGAACUUCUUUUUAUCAGCUACUUCAAGCAGCCUCCAUAUCCGGAUGAAAACAUAGAAAAGAGUGCAGGCUAUGAGCUGGGUUAGAAGAUGGUGCAGUUCUUAAUUGGCUCAUCAUAUUACCCUGUUGCAUGUUGUUUCUUUGAAGACUUCUGUUAAUUGUAGACCGGUGUUCUACAUAGAGUUUAUGAUGUGGUUAAUUUGAAAAGGUGAGUUUGAACCGACGGUGGCUACUGUCAUGAAAGUAAAGCAAAUGAAUGCUUCUAAGGUAAACAUUAACUUGCCACUGCUUUUAAUCAUUUUCUCUACUGAUUGUUCCACAUUUCAUGGCAAGGGUAAGAAAACAAAUGUUUUACAGAAAGAUUGGGGAAGGAGGGAACAGCAGUGGAUCGGAGGUGCAUCGAGGUGUUGCUAACUUGAGGCAACACGCUACUCAUCUAUACUAUGGAAGCGGCUAGAUGAGGGCAUAGAUUCUGUUGAUGAAUGGCUAAUGAACUGGAAAGUUUUUUUUUUUCGUUUGGUUGAAUUAAGCAGCAAAAUGUUGAUGUGGCUGCUGAAAAACUCAGUGCUCAGGAUAAAGGAAUUCAAGUGUUGGUAGAUGUUUGCCAUAUUUUUAUUGCUCAACAAAGGAAGAGUUUGAUUAAAAAAGUUGUUUUUGUGAAAGUUUGUUGGUAGAUCAACUAUGAAAUUUGUAUAAGAACAUGAUUUGUUAUUAGUUCUUCAGAUAAACUAGGCUGAAAAAUGUGAUAUAUGUCUGCUUCUUUUAUUCAAUCUUUUGAUACAAGGUUUCUUUUAUUUAACUUAACUUCUUAUUAUGGAUUCCACUUCUAUUUUAAUGUGCAUUUAUCUUUUGAUUUUGGACUAGAGGUGGAAGAUUGAAAGAGAAGGAAAGGGAAUAGAGUGUUUGUUGAGAGGCGUCCAUCACAGUCAGCGUCUUCAACAGCGGGAACAUCCAUUAUGCAGGAACCAGAUGACUUCAUUAGUAAUAUGUUCUAAUUAAAUUGGGAACAACACCAGUGCAUCCCUUUGAGGCUCUGAGAAUAUCCAAGCCUCUCAAUUAAGAGACAAAGUGGAGUUUCAAAAUGGGUAGAUCUUGGAUGCUAUAAACCAUAGGGAUUUUAAUUUGACAGGACUGAGGUCAGCCACAAAAAAAUUCAGAGCUUGGUACAAGGAUAGAGCAGCAUCAUCGUGGGAUAUGGAUUUGACUAUUACCAUCAAGAAAGGAUUGAAAUAUUGUUGUGUAGUAUCAUUGUGAUUACCUGUUGUGUGACCUCCCUAUCCUCCCCCUGAAAAAAAAAAAGAGAAUUUGUUGAGCUUUUUAUGUUUUGUAUUGCUAUUGAUUGAAACUUAACCAGUGUUGUAUAAUAGAAAAAUGUAAUGAUCCUUAAUAAAGACUUUUGCGUUGUAUAAUGGAUGGUACCAGGUUAAUUGAAA